UUACAGUACACUAAGGCUUUGCAGUUGUAAUUUUUACACAAAGCAUGGUAAUAAUGUUUGCUCCACUUUUUCAACAGUCCGACAGACCAGCCGGCCAGACAGGCCUCAGACAACUCAGGAUGAUGCUGGGAUUGCAGGUUCUGCUUCUGUAAGCCGACCUCCUGUAAGGCGCCCAUCACAGGGCUCGGGCCACUUACCCAGGAGGCCAAGUAAGACACGGCGUCUUGGCACGGAAUCUGCGGCUCCAUCUUCCCCACCCAGGCGGCGCAUUUCUGCAGUGUCACCCCAGCCACCACUGGCACUAUUGGCGAGUCCACAGAGUGAUGAGCCCCGAUCACCUCAGUUAUCUGAGCCCAGCUUGAUGGCCGACGUGGACCAGCAGGGACAAGACCAACAGGCAACCAUCACACUGCAACUUACACCUGUUGACCCGAGCCAGCCAAUACAGCUGCAGGAUAUCCCCCAAGCCUCCAUGAGUCCACACCUGGCACAAGCUCCACCCCAAACACAAAUACCAGAUGACUUUUGGGCCAGUUGGACAAGCCAACAGGCCCAAAGCAAUGCCAGCCUGACCGCACAUACCCAACACCUUGCCAGUCUGCCCCAUCAUCUACC